rnacentral:rRNA from 1 species
UUAAGUGACUAAGCGUACACGGUGGAUGCCCUGGCAGUCAGAGGCGAUGAAGGACGUGCUAAUCUGCGAUAAGCGUCGGUAAGGUGAUAUGAACCGUUAUAACCGGCGAUUUCCGAAUGGGGAAACCCAGUGUGAUUCGUCACACUAUCAUUAACUGAAUCCAUAGGUUAAUGAGGCGAACCGGGGGAACUGAAACAUCUAAGUACCCCGAGGAAAAGAAAUCAACCGAGAUUCCCCCAGUAGCGGCGAGCGAACGGGGAGGAGCCCAGAGCCUGAAUCAGUGUGUGUGUUAGUGGAAGCGUCUGGAAAGGCGCGCGAUACAGGGUGACAGCCCCGUACACAAAAAUGCACAUGCUGUGAGCUCGAUGAGUAGGGCGGGACACGUGGUAUCCUGUCUGAAUAUGGGGGGACCAUCCUCCAAGGCUAAAUACUCCUGACUGACCGAUAGUGAACCAGUACCGUGAGGGAAAGGCGAAAAGAACCCCGGCGAGGGGAGUGAAAAAGAACCUGAAACCGUGUACGUACAAGCAGUGGGAGCACAGAGCAAUCUGUGUGACUGCGUACCUUUUGUAUAAUGGGUCAGCGACUUAUAUUCUGUAGCAAGGUUAACCGAAUAGGGGAGCCGAAGGGAAACCGAGUCUUAACUGGGCGUUAAGUUGCAGGGUAUAGACCCGAAACCCGGUGAUCUAGCCAUGGGCAGGUUGAAGGUUGGGUAACACUAACUGGAGGACCGAACCGACUAAUGUUGAAAAAUUAGCGGAUGACUUGUGGCUGGGGGUGAAAGGCCAAUCAAACCGGGAGAUAGCUGGUUCUCCCCGAAAGCUAUUUAGGUAGCGCCUCGUGAAUUCAUCUCCGGGGGUAGAGCACUGUUUCGGCAAGGGGGUCAUCCCGACUUACCAACCCGAUGCAAACUGCGAAUACCGGAGAAUGUUAUCACGGGAGACACACGGCGGGUGCUAACGUCCGUCGUGAAGAGGGAAACAACCCAGACCGCCAGCUAAGGUCCCAAAGUCAUGGUUAAGUGGGAAACGAUGUGGGAAGGCCCAGACAGCCAGGAUGUUGGCUUAGAAGCAGCCAUCAUUUAAAGAAAGCGUAAUAGCUCACUGGUCGAGUCGGCCUGCGCGGAAGAUGUAACGGGGCUAAACCAUGCACCGAAGCUGCGGCAGCGACACUAUGUGUUGUUGGGUAGGGGAGCGUUCUGUAAGCCUGUGAAGGUGUGCUGUGAGGCAUGCUGGAGGUAUCAGAAGUGCGAAUGCUGACAUAAGUAACGAUAAAGCGGGUGAAAAGCCCGCUCGCCGGAAGACCAAGGGUUCCUGUCCAACGUUAAUCGGGGCAGGGUGAGUCGACCCCUAAGGCGAGGCCGAAAGGCGUAGUCGAUGGGAAACAGGUUAAUAUUCCUGUACUUGGUGUUACUGCGAAGGGGGGACGGAGAAGGCUAUGUUGGCCGGGCGACGGUUGUCCCGGUUUAAGCGUGUAGGCUGGUUUUCCAGGCAAAUCCGGAAAAUCAAGGCUGAGGCGUGAUGACGAGGCACUACGGUGCUGAAGCAACAAAUGCCCUGCUUCCAGGAAAAGCCUCUAAGCAUCAGGUAACAUCAAAUCGUACCCCAAACCGACACAGGUGGUCAGGUAGAGAAUACCAAGGCGCUUGAGAGAACUCGGGUGAAGGAACUAGGCAAAAUGGUGCCGUAACUUCGGGAGAAGGCACGCUGAUAUGUAGGUGAAGCGACUUGCUCGUGGAGCUGAAAUCAGUCGAAGAUACCAGCUGGCUGCAACUGUUUAUUAAAAACACAGCACUGUGCAAACACGAAAGUGGACGUAUACGGUGUGACGCCUGCCCGGUGCCGGAAGGUUAAUUGAUGGGGUCAGCGCAAGCGAAGCUCUUGAUCGAAGCCCCGGUAAACGGCGGCCGUAACUAUAACGGUCCUAAGGUAGCGAAAUUCCUUGUCGGGUAAGUUCCGACCUGCACGAAUGGCGUAAUGAUGGCCAGGCUGUCUCCACCCGAGACUCAGUGAAAUUGAACUCGCUGUGAAGAUGCAGUGUACCCGCGGCAAGACGGAAAGACCCCGUGAACCUUUACUAUAGCUUGACACUGAACAUUGAGCCUUGAUGUGUAGGAUAGGUGGGAGGCUUUGAAGUGUGGACGCCAGUCUGCAUGGAGCCGACCUUGAAAUACCACCCUUUAAUGUUUGAUGUUCUAACGUUGACCCGUAAUCCGGGUUGCGGACAGUGUCUGGUGGGUAGUUUGACUGGGGCGGUCUCCUCCUAAAGAGUAACGGAGGAGCACGAAGGUUGGCUAAUCCUGGUCGGACAUCAGGAGGUUAGUGCAAUGGCAUAAGCCAGCUUGACUGCGAGCGUGACGGCGCGAGCAGGUGCGAAAGCAGGUCAUAGUGAUCCGGUGGUUCUGAAUGGAAGGGCCAUCGCUCAACGGAUAAAAGGUACUCCGGGGAUAACAGGCUGAUACCGCCCAAGAGUUCAUAUCGACGGCGGUGUUUGGCACCUCGAUGUCGGCUCAUCACAUCCUGGGGCUGAAGUAGGUCCCAAGGGUAUGGCUGUUCGCCAUUUAAAGUGGUACGCGAGCUGGGUUUAGAACGUCGUGAGACAGUUCGGUCCCUAUCUGCCGUGGGCGCUGGAGAACUGAGGGGGGCUGCUCCUAGUACGAGAGGACCGGAGUGGACGCAUCACUGGUGUUCGGGUUGUCAUGCCAAUGGCACUGCCCGGUAGCUAAAUGCGGAAGAGAUAAGUGCUGAAAGCAUCUAAGCACGAAACUUGCCCCGAGAUGAGUUCUCCCUGACUCCUUGAGAGUCCUGAAGGAACGUUGAAGACGACGACGUUGAUAGGCCGGGUGUGUAAGCGCAGCGAUGCGUUGAGCUAACCGGUACUAAUGAACCGUGAGGCUUAACCUU